CUGUCACUGUAGAAGAACCGAAACCCAGAGAUCAGAGUGCGGAAAGAAACCAAUUUCGAAGCCUUUCAGCCAUGAGAGCUAAGUGGAAGAAGAAGCGUAUGAGAAGGUUGAAGAGGAAGAGGAGAAAGAUGAGGCAAAGAUCUAAGUAGUUCUUUUAAUUCUUUUCUUCACAACUACUUGUUUGAUGGGUGCUUUUUGUUUUAAUGGAUUAAUGGUGUCUUUUUCAUUU